rnacentral:rRNA from 1 species
UACGUAGGGGGCAAGCGUUGUCCGGAUUUAUUGGGCGUAAAGAGCGUGUAGGCGGUUAGGUAGGUCCGUUGUGAAAACUCGAGCUCAACCUCGAGACGCCGAUGGAAACCCCUAACCUACGAGUCCGGAAGAGGAGAGUGGAAUUCCUGGUGUAGCGGUGAAAUGCGCAGAUAUCAGGAAGAACACCCGUGGCUAAGGCGGCUCUCUAGUACGGUACUGACGCUGAGACGCGAAAGCGUGGGGAGCAAACAGG